rnacentral:rRNA from 1 species
AACGAACGCUGGCGGCAGGCCUAAAACAUGCAAGUCGAACGCUCUAGCAAUAGAGAGUGGCGCACGGGUGAGUAACACGUGGGAAUGUGCCUUUUGGUACGGAACAACUUUUGGAAACGAAAGCUAAUACCGUAUGGUCCCUUCGGGGUAAAGAUUUAUCGCCAAAAGAGCAGCCCGCGUUGGAUUAGCUAGUUGGUGGGGUAAUGGCCCACCAAGGCGACGAUCCAUAGCUGGUCUGAGAGGACGAGCAGCCACACUGGGAUUGAGAACGGCCCAG